GGUGGAUGCUAUGUGUGUGCAUUCUUUCUAUAUCGAUUAGCGAAGAUCGUAAUGGCGGCUGAGACGCAGAGCAGGUCUGGCCCGUUCAUGCCACCACCGGGUGGCUAGCAGCGUCAUGCACCAAGUGCACCGGCUCAUCCAGGCUGGGUACCUUAUGGCCCUGCUGACAAGUGUUUCGGAAAAGCUUUUGGUGAUCCUCACCACAGGGAGGGCAGGACGUGACGCCCAGGACAAGGGACCUCAUAUUUUUGAAGACUGGGAAUACAUCACUAACUGCAGCGUUUCCAGGAGCUUUAAGAACCGUACAGCAAAAGCCUUUUCUUCAUGAAUUUUUCUCAGGAUCUGAUGCCUGCAAACUCAAGGCAUAAUUUAAAUAAACUGCAAUGGCCUG